AAUAUGCGAGCGUAUUUUUGUUACGCCUGAGGAUAGAUCAGCUUUUUUCGACAUCGGGAACAAGACAAAGCCUGAGAUCCAGAAAAUUAUAGAUAAUCUAAUAAAGGACAUAGAGUCAGCUGGUGGCGAUGAGGAGGCAGAAGUUUUGAGGGUUCAGUGGAAUUCAGAAGUGAAGAAUGGAACAAAGAGUGUCUUUCUUACUUUUUACAGUGAUGUGGUAAAGUGUUUAGAGGAAAUUACUAACAGAAAAGAAUCUGCAGAAGCUGAUUGUGGGGACAUGGACUAGUGAGAUGUAAAUGUGUUACCUGGACUAUCUGUUCCAUGGGUGGCUUUUGGGGUACACCGUCUACGACUUCAAGCCCUGCCUCUUUACUGCUGAAAUAUUCGUCCCUGAUGAUUAAUUCUAUAGGAUCCCCGGUUAGUGUUGCA